UACGUAGGGGGCGAGCGUUGUCCGGAGUUACUGGGCGUAAAGCGCACGCAGGCGGUCUGCUAAGUUUGGAGUGACAGUUGGUGGCUUAACUGCCAAAGUGCUUCGAAAACUGACAGACUUGAGGGCUUCAGAGGGGCACGGAAUUCCGGGUGGGAGUGGUGAAAUGCGUAGAGAUCCGGAGGAACACCAAAGGCGAAGGCAGUGUCCUGGGGAGUACCUGACGCUGC
rnacentral:rRNA from 1 species